ACGAGUAUGUCAGAGUUUGAUCCUGGCUCAGGAUAAACGCUGACAGAAUGCUUAACACAUGCAAGUCGAUGAUGGGAAGCUAAGCCUAACUUAGAAGAAGUCAUGGCGGACGGGUGAGUAACGUGUAAAGAACUUGCCCUCUAGACUGGGAUAACAGAUAGAAAUGUCUGAUAAUACCGGAUAUUAUUGUUACAUGGCAUCAUGUAGGAAUGAAAGGAUAAGAUUGCUAGAGGAGAGCUUUGCAUCCUAUUAGCUAGUUGGUAAGGUAGUGGCUUACCAAGGCGAUGAUAGGUAGCCGGCCUGAGAGGGUGACCGGCCACAUUGGGACUGAGAUACGGCCCAG
rnacentral:rRNA from 1 species